rnacentral:lncRNA from 1 species
GGUGAUAUCAGACGGUGAUGGGAUCAGAUGGUUGAGUUUCAGAGGGGAGAGUUGUUGUUUGUUGUGGUGGAAGUGAAGUUUGGAGUGGUGAGGUUACUUCAGAUUGUCUUGUGGUUGUGGAGCGAAAUUUUUAGCAUAAAUUUCAGCUAUUGUUGGGGACUUAGGGUCAGAGUGUUCUUGAUCAGAAGGACUCAUGAUCAGAUAACUCUUGGUCAGA